rnacentral:tRNA from 1 species
GUUCCUGUAGUUGAAUGACAAUAGUGGUUUUUCAGGCCACUGGUUUCGGUGUAAGUCCGAGUUGGAACA